GGCACUAAGUCGAUCCAGCUGCGACAUGUCAGCCCAUUGAUCACCAGCUGAUCUGGUUGGCUAGGCAGAUGUCCCCUUCGUCCCUUACUGAUCCACAUGCAUCCCUCCCGAAGCUGCAUGUUCAGUUGAAGAGGACAACCUUCCCUGAUACAGGCAGUACUGUUCAUCAGUCAUGGGUAUAUGGUAGCUGCACUCCCCUGCUAGAACCUCCAGACAAGCUCAAGGUCCAGUUGUAGCCGAAUGUAGGGUAGUCAAGCUUCCAAGACUGCAGAGACAUCCAAGUGAGGCACUGCAUGUGGCAGUCUGUUUUUUUUU
rnacentral:snRNA from 14 species